rnacentral:misc_RNA from 1 species
AACGCACAUUGCGCCCGCCGGUACUCCGGCGGGCAUGCCUGUCCGAGCGUCAUUGACAACCCUCAGGCCCUGGUGCCUGGUGUUGGGGCACUACAGCAUGCUGUAGGCCCUGAAAUCCAGUGGCGGGACCGCUGUAAACCCGGGCGUAGUAACAUUACGUCGUCCAGGGUGUUCCGGCGCGCCCCAGCCGUUAAACCCACCAUAUUAUCAAUUUUGGCCUCGGAUCAGGUAGGAUUACCCGCUGAACUUAA